rnacentral:sRNA from 1 species
GCUGGGGGUCCAGAGGGGCAGGUGAAUGAAGGAACAUCACAGAUCAUAAAUCCCCAAGAAAGAGAUGUACCCCAGCCCAGCUCAGCAUCCCAGGAAAAAAGGACAGUGUUUGACAAGUGGCCCGGGCUGAAGAACCAUGCCCACCCUAUGAAUGUAGAAAUGCUCCAAGUCUCCCUCUGCCUUUAGACCCUACAGGCUGGACUCAGUAUCUCCAUGUCACUGAUGGGAAACUACAACCUAAAGACACUAGGCCAGUGCCUUUGCAUUACCACCCGUCUUGCCCAUGAAUUGUGCUGUGCGGUGGGAGCUGUGAGUGAUGGCAGAGCGGUUGCCAACCUGACCAUCACAGUGGCCUGCUGCAGACCAGCACACUGGGGAGUGACAUCAGAAGCCUGACCCACGGUCCAUGGAUUCACUGCAAAAUAGAAGAUGCAGCCACACUGGCUUUUCCCAAGAAGCAUCAGCAGCCAGCUCUGGGUACCAGGAGUUGAACUUGCUUGCCCUAGACGGCUUAGCAGAUAGGAGGGGCAGAGAGCCUGUUUCCAUUCUAAUUGCUUCUAACAUCUCAAGUUCUCUGGACUUCACGGAUCCCUCCCCUAUGCCCACCCCACUCCCACCUCCAUUAAUGAUUUUCAUUUUGGUCAAGAGCCAUAGCUUCAAAAUCACACCCACCUCAGUGUAUUCUGUUGCUUAGCAACAGCCAUAAAUCAACAGAACAUGCUGGAAUGUGCCGGGCAACCCUGCCUGGCUGCUAGAUACAUUGGCUUCUUAAAAUCCAAACAUGUCAUCUGCCCAAGUCUUGGCUGCACCCAGCUCUUGGGCUCCUCGAUUUACAGAGCUCCUGUAGGCAUCUUCCCAAACCAUCUCUUGUCUGCUGAACCUUUCAACAAGAGUCCUUUGUGAUCUCCUGGCAUUCUGCUCGACACCCAGGGAUCGGAUGAGUCAAGCCCCCUGCCAUGGAAUGGAAAGGACUCUUCUGUACAAACUGGAUCCCACUAUUUUUGCUCUAUUCCUGACCCAGGUGGCCAUGUGUGUGUGUGUUAUGGUUUCCAUUGCUAUGAAAAGACACCAUGACCAGGGCGACUCAUAAAGAAAACAUUUAAUUUGG